UCCUUCCCAUUAGGGGCUCCAAGGCCUUUGGUCAGGCUGCUGCUGUACUUAGAGGUUCCUAGGAGUUGUUCCUGAGCUGCUGCCCACUCAGCCUGCCGGCAGGUGGGAGACACUGGGAAAUAAGCCCAGUAGUCAGGCAACCAGGCCCCUGUCUCACAACUUGAGUUGGUUAGAAUGGAAUGGGCACUGCAAUGCCUGCUGGAACUCUUUGGUUCCAUUGGAGAGAGAGGCAGCUUGCUGGGGAGGUGAGGGGGCAGGGUAGGGGUAGGGAGCAGGACCGGACACUGGCUGAGGGGUUGCUCCUCAGGUUCCUCCAGACUUAGGCACUGACCCAGGCCACGUGUGGACAUGUGUCCUGCAGGUUGUACUUUCCCCAGCUGGCCCUAUGGCGGAGGCUAGGCCAGCUGAGCUGCAUGUCCAGACCUGCUCUGAAUCUGCGCUCCUGGCUGCUGACCAUCCUCCACUACCUCCUGCCCUUCCGUGUGCUCGGGCCCCACAGCCAGGUGGGAUGGAGGCCCCUGAGCAGGGUGUUCCUGUAUAAAACUGUGCCAACGAGUUUGCUGUCAUGUGCCUGUGGUCGCCUCAACAAAGUAGAACUUCCUUACUGGCUCUGGAGGCCAGUCUACAGCCUGUAUAUCUGGACCUUUGGGGUGAACAUGACUGAGGCUGCAGUGGAGGACCUGCACCACUACCGCAACCUCAGCGAGUUUUUCCGGCACCAGCCCAUCAGAUGGCAAGAUCCUCACCUUUGGGCAGGUGAAGAACUCUGAGGUGGAGCAGGUAAAGGGCGAAACCUACUCCUUGGAGUCCUUCCUGGGCCCUCGAACCAGUACAGAAGACCUGCCCUUCCCUCCAGCUUCUUCCAGUGACUCCUUCAGAAACCAGCUGGUCCCCCAAGAAGGGAAUGCGCUCUACCACUGUGUCGUCUACCUGGCCCCAGGAGACUACCACUGCUUCCACUCCCCCACUGACUGGACCGUCUCACAUCGGCGCCACUUCCCAGGUCUGCCCAGGGGUGGGCA
rnacentral:lncRNA from 1 species